rnacentral:rRNA from 1 species
UCGAACUGUGCGCCAUCAGCCGGGGUAAGGCGGUGGGGGCGAGCGGUAAGCGGAGUUACUGGGCGGAAAGCGCGCGUAUGUGGCUAAUUAAGUCAAAUGUGAAAUCCCCGAGCUUAACUUGGGAAUUGCAUUCGAUACUGGUUGGCUAGAGUAUGGGAGAGGAUGGUAGAAUUCCAGGUGUAGCGGUGAAAUGCGUAGAGAUCUGGAGGAAUACCGAUGGCGAAGGCAGCCAUCUGGCCUAAUACUGACACUGAGGUGCGAAAGCAUGGGGAGCAAACAGGAUUAGAUACCCUUGUAGUC